CGUACGGGUGAGUAACACGUGGGUGAUCUACCUCUUAGUGGGGGAUAUCUCUGGGAAACCGGAGUUAAUACCGCAUAAGUUCGAGAGAAGAAAGCGAGCAAUCGCGCUGAGAGAGGAGCCCGCGGCCGAUUAGCUAGUUGGUGAGGUAAAGGCUCACCAAGGCAGAGAUCGGUAGCCGGCCUGAGAGGGCACACGGCCACACUGGCACUGAAACACGGGCCAG
rnacentral:rRNA from 1 species